rnacentral:rRNA from 1 species
CCACCCGUUCCCAUACCGAACACGAUGGUUAAG